rnacentral:rRNA from 1 species
CAAACUGGAGAUGGCGACCGGCGCACGGGUGAGUAACACGUAUCCAACCUGCCGAUAACUCGGGGAUAGCCUUUCGAAAGAAAGAUUAAUACCCGAUGGCAUAAUAGAACCGCAUGGUUUGAUUAUUAAAGAAUUUCGGUUAUCGAUGGGGAUGCGUUCCAUUAGGCAGUUGGUGGGGGUAAUGGCCCACCAAACCUUCGAUGGAUAGGGGUUCUGAGAGGAAGGUCCCCCACAUUGGAACUGAGACACGGUCCAAACUCCUACGGGAGGCAGCAUG